rnacentral:rRNA from 1 species
CUGGUCCUACGGGAAGCAGCAGAGGGGAAUAUUGCACAAUGGGGGAAACCCUGAUGCAGCGACGCCGCGUGAGUGAAGAAGUAUUUCGGUAUGUAAAGCUCUAUCAGCAGGGAAGAAAAUGACGGUACCUGAUUAAGAAGCCCCGGCUAACUACGUGCCAGCAGCCGCGGUAAUACGUAGGGGGCAAGCGUUAUCCGGAUUUACUGGGCGUAAAGGGAGCGUAGACGGCAGCGCAAGUCUGAAGUGAAAUGCCGGGGCUUAACCCCGGAACUGCUUUGGACACUGAGCAGCUAGAGUGCAGGAGG